GGCUUAAUGUUUUUGUAUUGCAUAAAUAUGACAAGUAACUAUCCACUUAGCAGUAAGUUCGUCAUUAUCUUUAUAUUCGUCAUCAAAUGGAUUUAAUAUUAUGGUUGUAUUCAUGGAUCUUUCUGGACAGUGGGUGAUGUGUGUCGGCCGUUAACGUUAGCAUAUCUCCAUGGACAGCUAAGUGUCUAUGAUGUUAAAUUAUUAGGCCUAUGUUGAGUAUAACUAUUUUAUUCGUAAGUAUAAAAUGGAAGUUAACACAUCUCCUCCCAGUCGUUGUUUGGAAUUUUAGCCUUAGUCUCCCGGCCAGUUUCAUAAAUUUUCAUCAGCCAGCGAACAUUUUGUCCGAUGGGCAUGUGUAAUUUCUAGAAGUGCUAGUUCUUCAGAAAAAGGAUACGUGCCUAAGUACACUAAACCAACGUUAGUUCUGCUGCUGUGUUGUUCCGGUUUUUAUUCCAAACUUCCAUUUUCACUCCUAAUGUUCACCCUGACGUGAACAGGAAAUGUGCAUGAUAUCAUUUGACUGUUGUAGGCCCCUAGAGUACUUCUAGGUGUUUUCAUGACCGAUGUCAGUUAACUUUUUGGGAGCCAACGCAUGUGAGGCGAAACGUGUUUUUUACCUGACUUGGGAGUCAAAUGUUUUGAAUGUCUACUAUACAUUGAUUAAGGCAUUUUCACGCACGAGCAGGAAACAAUGAUACAUUACUAAUACUUAAUUCAAGUCAGUGGCAGGAAAUGAUAAACCAUAACCAGCAACGCAUUAAUUACAGCAAUGCAUUACUUUUUCUGCAACUCAGAGAAUACCUUAAGUUUGGCAGUUUUUUAGCAACUCAGUCAACAUUGCAUGUAAGCUUAACACAAUAAUGCAUAUUUUUUCUUUUUUGUGUCACUCCUCACCACAUAUGGCAGAUUUAGUGUGAAGAGCCACCUGUACAAGAUUCCUGGGACAGCAGAACAUGCACCUCACGCACUACCCUGGCACCCUGGCUGAACAACCCGCAGCACAUCAUCUCCAGCUGAGAGGGGGACUCAUACAUUCAUUUGAAAUCAGCUCUACUGAGCGUAACACAACUCUUGCAAUCAAAUUUGGCAGAGGCUCUGAAGGCCACAUAGCCAGCAAGGUACACUGACACAUUGCCCUCAAUGACGUCCAGCCCCUUCAUGAACUCUGUGUUGUCCAGUCCAGGGAAUGUGGGUUCCUCAUCAGUAGACUGUACGUGAGGCAUGGUCAGUGCGGUGCAUGGAUGGGGAGUUGCCAUCUGCGAUGACUCAGUGCAGCUCUACAAAAUCAUUGCAAAUGAUUACAGACUUACAGUAUACUAAUCAUGUGUGACACUUUUGUUUUUGAAAGGGUGUUUCGUGUACCUCGUGAGGCAUGGUCAGUGCGGUGCAUGGAUGGGGAGUUGCCAUCUGCGAUGACUCAGUGCAGCUCUACAAAAUCAUUGCAAAUGAUUACAGACUUACAGUAUACUAAUCAUGUGUGACACUUUUGUUUUUGAAAGGGUGUUUCGUGUACCUCGUGAGGCAUGGUCAGUGCGGUGCAUGGAUGGGGAGUUGCCAUCUGCGAUGACUCAGUGCAGCUCUACAAAAUCAUUGCAAAUGAUUACAGACUUACAGUAUACUAAUCAUGUGUGACACUUUUGUUUUUGAAAGGGUGUUUCGUGUACCUCGUGAGGCAUGGUCAGUGCGGUGCAUGGAUGGGGAGUUGCCAUCUGCGAUGACUCAGUGCAGCUCUACAAAAUCAUUGCAAAAGAUUACAGACUUACAGUAUACUAAUCAUGUGUGACACUUUUGUUUUUGAAAGGGUGUUUCGUCUACCUCAAACAAAUGGGACAAUUGCAGCAAUAGGUGUAUUUCCUCCGGUUCGCAAUUUGUAUUUCUCCCAAAUGUCAUUAGAUAGUCUAGCACGGCCUGCCUGUAGUCUAAUCGGAAUUGCUGAGGGUCUGGAUUGUCCCUGUGCCCGCCCUUCGCUCUGAUCACCCCAAAGAAGUGUUCCAGGCAGUCCUGGUUGAGGUGCCUCGUAAAUAGAAACUGAAAUCCUUUCUCUGUGAAUGCAAAUGACAAACAGUACAUUGGCCAACAGCAGAAAACAUGCAGUGGUGGACAAAGCUCAUUAGCAUUAGCAAAGCUCAAUUUGAAUAAUUAUGCCUUAUUGCUGCUACCUUUCAAUUCAGCCCAGAUUUCCUUGAUUGCUCUUAGGUUAUGCCUCCAACCAUUUAGGCAAUUCAAGCUGUUGCCACUGGCACAUCUGACAGAUGCCAGCCAGUUAAUACUCUCAUUGAUAAAAUCAAUAUGUGUCUCUCUGAAGGCAUCCUUUUGUGGUGUGCUGCUGGACAAUGUGCUACUGUUAAAGCAGUCAAACAUCUGGUUAAAGUGGGCUACAAAAUCUGCCGUCGUUUUUGCCCCCUCUCUUAGCUUCCCCAUGUCUGCCAUGGUGAGCAGUGCAGCCGCAACAGAAUGACUAAGAACCUGUAAUAAAAAAAUAAAAAAAAUCCCAUUUUCAGGACCAUAGAUAAAGAUUGUAAAUUGAAUGUUAUACGCCUGCAUGACAGUUUUCACUUGUGGCUUACCUGAGUGGCGAGAGGCACACUCAUUGUUGAAAAGGCAGUGAGGGACAGAUGCCGUUGGGUUAACUUGGGUGCCAUUCGGUGUUGUCUUUGUGAAUCAAUUUUAAACAUUUCAGUGAUGUCUCCCCAUUCUGCCAAUUUGUCCCCUAUGUAAAAUCCAUAUUUUCGCAAAUUGUUUCUGAUGUUUUUCAUUAAAUGGGGGGGGUCGAAUAAAAAAUGAAUCUUCUGGCUUUUGACAAAGAAGUACGGUUUUUCUUCUGUUAUACCCAGGUUUCUACAGGCUGCCAGGUUGUUGCUGCCUUGGUCCAUUACCAGCACCAUGGGAGUGAAGCCAGUGUCAAGCACCUUUUCCACCGCCUCCAUGAUUUUGGUUUUUUAAGACCCCAUGCUUCAUGGUCCCAGAUGACAAGAAGUACCCUAUGGGUUGUUUCCAUUUCCCAGUUAGACUACGGAUCAUGAAAACCCCUGCAUGGUUGGCUGGUCUUCCCCCUUCGUCAUACCCUUCUACUUCAUCUUUCGAGAUGUUAUAAUUUAGGCUACAUUUCAAUGUAAUUUCAUCAAAUGUGAUGGCAACGUGCCUAUCUCGCUCUUCCAUAUGCUGCACUUGAUGUUUAAGUGCAUACAGCACAGGUUCAUGCCAUCCCGGCCCGAUGUCUACUCUCUGCAAGAUAUUUGAAAGGGUCCUGGCUGUAGGGAGCUUGAAAAUUCUCCUCAUGGUUCGGUAGGCUUUUGGCCCUGUACCCUUAACCUGUAACGCCCAACUUUUCAUGAAGUUGCUCCACCGAAUGGCCCUUGGUUUUUUUUUGGCAUUAUCAAUUUGCUCGUUGACAAAUUGUGCGGCUUGUUUUGGCAAUACUUUGGAAAUUUCCCUCUUUAAUGUUUGUUUGCUGAUAGAUGGUGUCUUUUUCUUUAGCCUUGACAGCUUUGAUUUGUAGCAGCCAAUUUUUCUUUUCAGUUUUUCCACUGUGUUGUCAUUGCUGACACUGGCCAGUACAUCAGUGCCUAAAAAGAAAUGUGACAACUGUAACAACAGACUUAUGCACAGACUACUACCUAUGCAGUGUUCAACACUCAGAAUGUAUCUGUUACCACCAUUUGCCAUUAAAUCACUUACUAUCCAGGA